rnacentral:rRNA from 1 species
GAUAAACGCUGGCGGCGCACAUAAGACAUGCAAGUCGAACGCACGGCCUUGGGGUUUCUUGGGGUUGGUGAGUGGCGAACGGGUGAGUAACACGUGAGUAACCUGCCCUCUUCUUUGGGAUAACGGUCGGAAACGGCUGCUAAUACUGGAUAUUCACACAUUGUCGCAUGGUGGUGUGUGGAAAGGGUUUUCUGGUGGGGGAUGGGCUCGCGGCCUAUCAGCUUGUUGGUGGGGUGAUGGCUUACCAAGGCUUUGACGGGUAACCGGCCUGAGAGGGUGACCGGUCACAUUGGGACUGAGAUACGGCCCAG